UACGUAGGGGGGCAAGCGUUGUCCGGAUUUAUUGGGCGUAAAGAGCGUGUAGGCGGCCAUUCAGGUCAGCUGUGAAAAACUCGAGGCUCAACCUCGAGACGUCGGUUGAAACCGUUUGGCUAGAGUCCGGAAGAGGAGAGUGGAAUUCCCGGUGUAGCGGUGAAAUGCGCAGAUAUCGGGGAAGAACACCCCGUGGCGAAGGCGGCUCUCUGGGACGGUACUGACGCUGAGACGGCGAAAAGCGUGG
rnacentral:rRNA from 1 species